AAAGUUAGUUGACCCGACCCGAAUAUUUUAACAGAACGAACUUAAUCAUCAUGACUAAGUAUAUUUGAACUCAAGAAAAUAAUGACCAGAACCUGACCCAAAUAUGAGAAUCACACAAACUCGUUCUAACACAUUGAAACCCAAAUUAAUCCUGACUUGUUACUUAUUCGACCCUAAUUUUAACUCAACAUCUUGUUGAUGAAUGAAUCAAACCGAAUCGGAUCAUAAGAAUAACUCUAACUGAUUUGACUUAAUUGAUUAAAAAUGAAUUGACCUGUUUUAGACUCGAUUGGAAUAAAACCCGUAAUAAAUAUAAACAAACUGAACUGAUGACCCGGUAACUUUAAAAAACGACCCGAACCAACGUAUUAGCUCUUUGACCCCUCUAUAACCAAAUCCAUUAUUACAUAAAACCGACAAAAUGUAACCCAAAAUUGAACCGUUGACCCGAAUUGACCCCUAAAAACGAUCAAUUGAUCAUCAUUCCUCUAAAAAAAAAAAAAAAAAAAAAAAACAAACAAAAUUUACUUCUCUAGUAGAGCUGGCUAUUAGGCGGUUUAUUAAAAAAAACUCAAAAUUUUUAGCACAAAAAAUCAUUAGCCGCCAAUUUGAUUAUAAGAAAAAGAAAAAACAAAAUAAGAAAAAUCCACUAAUUUUGCCUCAAAACAAAAACCCUCGUUGCAGAAGGAUUUCCGUUCGAAAAUCCGAGAAUCCCUAAUUCUAAGAGUCGAUUAUACUCGCAAGAUCACAUGUUCAACAAAAUUUCAAGUGUAUUCACGGUGGAGGAAGCGCAGCUUUUGAAGACAAUGCCAGGAGGCAGCUUGAGUGAAAGCAGAAAAACAACAUUAAUACUCCACUAAGGAUAGGGGAGAAGAAUGAAAAAGCAAGUGAAAGUAGGACUCAUCAGGAGAUGCCUCACUACAACGGCACUAAACGCUUCGGUCGCACUAGACAAGAAAUUUGUAAAAAGGCGCGAAGGAGCAUUGUCGCAUGCUAUAAGAGUUUUUUUUUUUUUUUUUUUUUUUUUGGGGGGGGGGGGGACGAAUAUGUAUUUAUUGGUCUUUAACAAAAAGAUUAUUUCAAUUAUGUUUGUAACGGUUGCCGAAUUCUAAUAUGUUUGAAUGUAUGGGAUGCUGUGAUUAUAUCUAUUUCAGCAAUGAAAAAUGUUAUGUUUGAGAAAAA